GAUGAACGCUGGCGGCGUGCCUAACACAUGCAAGUCGAGCGUGAUUUAUGAGGACGAAACUUCGGUCUAGGAAUCAUAAUGAAAGCGGCGGACGGGUGAGUAACGCGUAGGCAACCUGCCCUUAACACAGGGAUAGCCUCGGGAAACCGGGAUUAAAACCUGAUGAUGCCAAAGAGCAACAUGGCUCGUUGGCCAAAGAUUUAUAGGUUAAGGAUGGGCCUGCGUCUGAUUAGUUUGUUGGGAGGGGAACGGCCUAGCAAGGCUACGACCAGUAGCCAACCGAGGAGGGGGAUCGGCCCCAGUGGAACGGAGACACGGUCCAAACUACUACGGGAGGCAGCAGUGGGGAAUAUUGCACAAUGGGCGAAAGCCUGAUGCAGCAACGCCGCGGGAGCGAUGAAGGCCUUUGUGUCGUAAAACUCUGUCCUUGGGGAAGAAACAAAUGACGGUACCCAAGGAGGAAGCCCCGGCUAACUACGUGCCAGCAGCCGCAGUAA
rnacentral:rRNA from 1 species